rnacentral:misc_RNA from 1 species
GAUGAAGAACGUAGCGAAAUGCGAUACGUAAUGUGAAUUGCAGAAUUCAGUGAAUCAUCGAGUCUUUGAACGCACAUUGCGCCCCCUGGUAUUCCGGGGGGCAUGCCUGUCCGAGUGUCAUUGCUGCCCUCAAGCACGGCUUGUGUGUUGGGCCUCCGUCCUCCUCCCGGGGGACGGGCCCGAAAGGCAGCGGCGGCACCGCGUCCGGUCCUCGAGCGUAUGGGGCUUCGUCACCCGCUCUUGUAGGCCCGGCCGGCGCUUGCCGACACAUCAAUCUUUUUUCCAGGUUGACCUCCGAUCAGGUAGGGAUACCCGCUGAACUUAAGCAUAUCAAUAAGCGGAGGA